rnacentral:rRNA from 1 species
GAGGAAUAUUGGUCAAUGGACGAGAGUCUGAACCAGCCAAGUAGCGUGAAGGAUGACUGCCCUAUGGGUUGUAAACUUCUUUUAUACGGGAAUAAAGUGAGGCACGUGUGCCUUUUUGUAUGUACCGUAUGAAUAAGGAUCGGCUAACUCCGUGCCAGCAGCCGCGGUAAUACGGAGGAUCCGAGCGUUAUCCGGAUUUAUUGGGUUUAAAGGGAGCGUAGGCGGACGCUUAAGUCAGUUGUGAAAGUUUGCGGCUCAACCGUAAAAUUGCAGUUGAUACUGGGUGUCUUGAGUACAGUAGAGGCAGGCGGAAUUCGUGGUGUAGCGGUGAAAUGCUUAGAUAUCACGAAGAACUCCGAUUGCGAAGGCAGCUUGCUGGACUGUAACUGACGCUGAUGCUCGAAAGUGUGGGUAUCAAACAGGAUUAGAUACCCUGGUAGUCCACACAGUAAACGAUGAAUACUCGCUGUUUGCGAUAUACAGUAAGCGGCCAAGCGAAAGCGUUAAGUAUUCCACCCGGGGAGUACGCCGGCAACGGUGAAACUCAAAGGAAUUGACGGGGGCCCGCACAAGCGGAGGAACAUGUGGUUUAAUUCGAUGAUACGCGAGGAACCUUACCCGGGCUUAAAUUGCAACUGACUGAACCGGAAACGGUUCUUUCUUCGGACAGUUGUGAAGGUGCUGCAUGGUUGUCGUCAGCUCGUGCCGUGAGGUGUCGGCUUAAGUGCCAUAACGAGCGCAACCCUUAUCGAUAGUUACUAGCAGGUCAUGCUGAGGACUCUAUUGAGACUGCCGUCGUAAGAUGUGAGGAAGGUGGGGAUGACGUCAAAUCAGCACGGCCCUUACGUCCGGGGCUACACACGUGUUACAAUGGGGGGUACAGAAGGCAGCUACACGGCGACGUGGUGCUAAUCCCGAAAGCCUCUCUCAGUUCGGAUUGGAGUCUGCAACCCGACUCCAUGAAGCUGGAUUCGCUAGUAAUCGCGCAUCAGCCACGGCGCGGUGAAUACGUUCCCG